rnacentral:rRNA from 1 species
UGCAAGUCGAACGAUGAAGUUCCUUCGGGGAUGGAUUAGUGGCGAACGGGUGAGGAACACGUGAAGAAUCUGCCCUCCACUUUGGGAUAACACCGGGAAACCGGUGCUAAUACCGAAUAUUGAAAUAUAAGUGGCAUCACUGAAUUUUGAAAGAAUUUCGGUGGAGGAUGACUUCGCGGCCUAUCAGCUUGUUGGUGAGGUAAUGGCUCACCAAGGCGACGACGGGUAUCCGGCCUGAGAGGGCGACCGGACACACUGGGACUGAGACACGGCCCAGACUCCUAUGGGAGGCAGCAGUGGGGAAUAUUGGGCAAUGGACGAAAGUCUGACCCAGCGACGCCGCGUGAGGGAUGAAGGCCUUCGGGUUGUAAACCUCUUUCAGUAGGGAAGAAGCGAAAGUGACGGUACCUAAAGAAGAAGCACCGGCUAACUAUGUGCCAGCAGCCGCGGUAAUACAUAGGGU